CACUCCCCUGUUCCCUCAAUCUAGUCCAUGACAUUCCAGAAGAAUAUAGUUGUCAUUAUGGCUUCCUUAAGUUUUAAUUACUGUAGUAGCUUUUAAAUUAUGCCAUGACAACCCCGCUGUUGCAUACCUGGAUUUAGCAAAAUGUGAUGUGCGGGUGAGUUGUUCAAUGUACAAGGUCAUUUUUAAUAAAUUUUCACUACAGUUAAGAAGAUAGUGUUCCUGAUGUGGCUAAUGGAUAAGCUCCCACUUUUACUGGCCAUGCUAUGCAGAGACAUGGUAAGUUUAGCUUUUAAAAGCCCUUGAAGAGAGAAUGUCUAUCUCUGAUGCACAUAACUUUACUUUACUCCCUCUCUCAGUGUAGAAGAAUUUUAUUUUACUGACUUUGCCCUGGCUCCAAUGAAAGCUGCUGAUGUAGAAUUUCAAACCAAGCCAGGGCAUGCUAAUGUUCUGAGGAAUCCUGCUUCCAAAAGGUAUAAACAAAGAGAGAUGGUCCCUCAUGAAUGAAACAGGUAACUAUACACCACAAGAAAAGUCAAUUGCUUUAGAUAUACCAUUGAAGUAUGGAAUGCAUUUGUUGCUUUUCAAGCCCAGAAAUAAAAUGUCCAAAGAUAGAACAGAUGGUUGUAGUAUUUGAAGCAGGUUACGUAGCUGGGGGUGCUAUUGUCUCUCACCUGCUGAUUCUGUAGCAUCUGUGGUGAAUAAAGGCAGUGCCACUCAGCUUCCUCAGAGGAUUGGAUGUAGGCUGUGGGAGGACCGGGCUGUGUGGGUAUCAUCAUAAUUGGACCUCUGACUGAGCUACAGUGGUUUAUCGAAAACUCCAGAAGGUCCAUCUCAGCUUCCAUGCAUUUUGCCAUCUGAAAUUGGAGUCUUUG
rnacentral:lncRNA from 1 species